rnacentral:rRNA from 1 species
AUAAUAAUCCAUAGAUUAGAUACACUGGAAUGUUCUUUAGUCGAAAAUUUGGGCGCCUUAGAAUGAAUCCUGCGGUCGAUUAGGUUGUGGUUGGGGUAACGGCCCAACAAGCCUGUAAUCGAUACGGGUUGUGUGAGCAAGAGCCCGGAGAUGGAAUCUGAGACACGAUUCCAGGCCCUACGGGGCGCAGCAGGCGCGAAAACUUUACAAUGCAGGAAACUGUGAUAAGGGAACUCCGAGUGCCCGUAUACGCGGGCUGUCCAGGUGUUUAAAAAUCAUCUGAAGAAAGGGCCGGGCAAGACCGGUGCCAGCCGCCGCGGUAAUACCGGCGGCUCGAGUGGUGGCCACUAUUAUUGGGCUUAAAGCGUCCGUAGCUGGACCGAUAAGUCUCUUGGGAAAUCCGCCGGCUCAACCGGCGGGCGUCUAAGGGAUACUGUUAGUUAGGGACCGGGAGAGGUGAGAGGUACUCCGGGGGUAGGAGUGAAAUCCUGUAAUCCUCGGGGGACCACCGAUGGCGAAGGCAUCUCACCAGAACGGCUCCGACAGUGAGGGACGAAAGCUGGGGGAGCGAACCGGAUUAGAUACCCGGGUAGUCCCAGCCGUAAACUAUGCGCGUUAGGUGU